UCCGUCGUGGUGUAGUGGCUAGCAUUUGAGACUCUCAUUUCCGAAUAUUCUUCGGAAUGUGAACUCUCAGAACCCGGGUUCAAUUCCCGGCGACGGAA